GACAGAGAGGAAGCCAGAGAGCGGGGAGGCUGGCUUCAUCCUUUCCAGGAUGCCUAGGAAGAACCAAUCAAUACCUGGGAGAUGAUACAUCUCCUUUCCACGUUACACGGGUACUAAAAUUUCAUUCCAGAAACUUCGGGGGGGUGGGCAGCAGACACCUUCCAAAGCACAGUCUACAGGACAACUCCUGUACCUUCUUAAGCCUAGGACACCAUUAGGAUAUGUUUGAACCUGACUUUGGAUAUACUAAAACAUGUGGCAAUAUGUUAAAUACAGGAAACUGCACCUGUUCAUGUAUGGUGAUACCACGGAGGGCCAGACUGCUGCAAUGCCCGAGGUGUGCCAUCUCCACAGAGAACCCAUCUUCACUCCCUUUAGGCAAUUCCCUCCCACCAGAGGCAGGAAGCAAACUACAACACCACGCUGAAGCAGCAAACAUAACCAUGUGAGCUAUCACACACCAGCUCCUUCCUUAUUUCUGAUCACCCUGGACUCAGUUAGCCCAGCUUCCCACAGCAAGACUGUGUCUAGACUGUGGGGACAACAGGCUGGGAGCCAGGAAUGGACCUCAAGCCUACGAGAGCGUCCAAGCUGCUUUACUAAUGCCUUUGAACCUUCUGAUGAUUGGAACAGAGUUGAAAUUUAUUAGAAAAUAGAAAAACAGCUUUGGUACAACACUACCAGUCAUCAUGUACGUCCCUGAAUAACAAUGUUCAUCUCUAGGUCAUGCCUCCAGAUGUGUAAUUGAAGAUACUAACUGGAUGAAUGAACAAUUUAAAGUUCCAGGGGAACAAAGCGCUGUUCUGGAUGAUUCCAAGCCAGCACCACUCCCUCUUCCAGUUCAGCUUCACAGCUACCCAGAGGUGAAGGGUGGGCACACAGCGAACUUUGAGAAACGCACAUAAUAUGAAUCUCAAGGAAAGAGAAAAGCCACGAAAUCUAUACUAAGCGGAAUCCCCAUGUUAAGAUUCACCAAGAAAAGCCUUUCAGAGUCUGUGG
rnacentral:lncRNA from 1 species